rnacentral:rRNA from 1 species
UCGGGAAUUUUGGGCAAUGGGCGCAAGCCUGAUCCAGCCAUGCCGCGUGCGGGAAGAAGGCCUUCGGGUUGUAAACCGCUUUUGUCAGGGAAGAAACGCUCUGGGCUAAUACCCUGGGGUAAUGACGGUACCUGAAGAAUAAGCACCGGCUAACUACGUGCCAGCAGCCGCGGUAAUACGUAGGGUGCAAGCGUUAAUCGGAAUUACUGGGCGUAAAGCGUGCGCAGGCGGUUAUGCAAGACAGAUGUGAAAUCCCCGGGCUCAACCUGGGAACUGCAUUUGUGACUGUAUAGCUAGAGUACGGUAGAGGGGGAUGGAAUUCCGCGUGUAGCAGUGAAAUGCGUAGAUAUGCGGAGGAACACCGAUGGCGAAGGCAAUCCCCUGGACCUGUACUGACGCUCAUGCACGAAAGCGUGGGGAGCAAACAGGAUUAGAUACCCCCGUAGUCCCUGAGCGGGCUGGCAAGGCGCAU